UAUAUUUUUUGUACUAAAUUAAACUAUUAACAUUGUAUCCUUCAAUUUCAGAACGAAUUUCAACAACACUUUGGGGAGUUUCGAGCCACUCAGCCAAGUAGCACGCCGAUGACCGACGAGUUAAUACAACAACAAUGGAUUGAGAAGGUUGCUUCCCUAACAAGGCAUGGGACAGUUUAUGGCAUGCCUAAUCGAGCCUUUCGCCGAUACCUAUCGGCCCUUGAAGCCGUAGGUGUUACUGAUGAUGGGGCAGUUGAUCCUAAGGAGUAUGAAGCUAUGAAGCAUCAAGUUGACCUGCUAACAAGAACACUUAAUUCCUCUGAGGCCAGGAUGUUGGAUAUGGAUCAUGUCUCUAACACCGAACGUUGACCUUUUUGAUUAGUGUGCUUUUCGAUUCUAAUUCUGCUAUGUUUAAAUGGAUAUGUAUAUUAUGUUUAAGGGUUUGAAUGUAGUUUUAAUUUGAACUAGAAGUACUUUUAAUUUUAAGAUGUUUAAGUGUUUGAACAUAGUUUAUGAUGUUUAAGUGUUUGAAUUUGAUUUGUUCAAGUGUUUGAACAUUGUUUAUGGUUGUUAUGUUGCAUUAUUGAUGAAUUGGAUGACUGUUUUGGUUGA